GAACCGAGAAUCAUUGUAGCGGAGGCUUUAGUUGCAAAGCGACCGCCAAUCUGGAGUUCGAUUUUUGAAUGGUUCUUAGCCAAUCAACUUGUAACUUUUCUGUAAGAGCAGAAUUUUUGCAUACGUUUCUCUUUCGAAUGAUUCGAUAUCAAGCUCCUGAAUUAGUGCAGCCAGACCUAACACAAUUACUUCUUUGUUCGUCAAAAGUAAUUGAUAAGGUCAGCGUUUUACAAUUAUUUCCAGGUAAUUCGACGAUCUGAAAAUUUAUCCACGUAUUCAGACCUUUGCCUUCACAUGUCCGUGGUGAAUGGUGGGAAUUCACUAUUUUCUUUGUCCUGCUUGAAAGGACCUUAUCUUAUUAUCACGUUUAUCUGUAUACAGAUCUGUAUACAGAUAAACGUGAUAAUAAGAUAAGGUCCUUUCAAGCAGGACAAAGAAAAUAGUGAAUUCCCACCAUUCACCAACAUGGGAUAAAUAUAUUUAUCGCAGUGAGGAGAACGUUUGACAGUUGGACGUUAUUAAAUUGCGUAUAAUAUUUAUUAUUAUAAGUGAGAUAUUUGUUUUCUCUCUCUCUCUCUAAAAAAAAUAAUAUAAAAUCUCUUUUACGCACUUAAUUGGAGUAAUUAGUAAAAAAAUGGGAGGUAAUGUCUUUAGUAAACCGCUGAAAUCUGGUGAACAAACAAACUCGCCUAACAAAUCUACGGAUACAGUAAAAGUACCGCCUAAAUUCGCUACGAAGGAUGAUUUUAUCGCAACCUGGUUUUCAUGGAAGAAAAAAUUCUUUGUGUACUUGAAGAGUAUUGACGAAGCUAGAGGCGAGAGACAAAUGUUGGGUAUCAUGCUUCUGAACCAUAUGGGUCCCAUUGGCCAAGAAAUCCAUGGAACGGUUGUUUUCUACGAUACCAAACCGAUGGAGGAUUUAAACGUGUUAAUUAAAAAAUUUGAUAUGUACUGCAUAUAUGGGGAUAAAAAAAGAGACCGCGAAGACAUCGACAAAUAUACAAACGAUUUGAAAUCCAUCGCUAUCGCAAAUAUGAAUUGCGUUGACCCCGCGUUGGUUGUGAAGGAAAAAAUUAUACAAGAUAUAUGUGCUCAACGUUUCACGGGAAUAGUCACGUUUCUCCCAGGAUUAUAUGGAGGAAAACUGAUACCGUACUUGCGUUCGUUGGAGCUCGACGGUAUUAUUCUAUUCUGGAAACAGUGCGAAAUGGCGCAAAAUAUGAAUUAGGAACCCCCGAGGCAGUCGAACAUACCGUUAUUGUAAUAAACCGAAUCAUUUGGAAGAACGAUGCGCGAGCAGGCGUAAUAAUGAUAUAUGUAUACUGCAUUUUAAGGGCGAAAAUAAAUUGGAAAUAAUCGCUCGACAUAUUUUCACUCGUUAUUUAUUAGAUUAAAAAUGUACAUUACGCUUGAUCACCAGUCGGCAUGGACUUUAUGAUGUCGGAAUUGCCAGGAUCUGUGAUCGAGAGCGUACAGACACGGAAGUAUUUACCGCAGGCUGUACCCAAUUCGAUAUUGUUCCCCGUGUAAUGGUGCACGCCAGUUUUCGCCAACAUCGCGUAGUACUCGAUCUCCGAUUUCCUGUUAAAUCCGGACGAAGCACGUUUAAAACGGCACGUUAGCGAGAUACAGUUCAGUUCCCCGUGCACUUACAAGCAGGGGUAGGAGACUACUCCAUAGUACUCCUAUUCAAUUUAUGAUAUGCAAAUUGACAAUCGUAUCAAUAUUACCACUCUAUCAGUGCAAUUUCAAUGUAAACUAUUAAUUUAAUUGGACACUCUAUUAGUUAUCUGGUACAAAUACAUUUGCGUAUUGGAAGUCACUAAUAAAUUUAGCAAAUCCAUCGAUUUAAGAGAAACUGCAUUCUUGUUAAACAUGUCAAUUUGCUGGUUGCAAAAGGAGUGCUACUUCUCAGUCUCACCUUAGCGGCGGUG